rfam:Schistosoma mansoni, Puerto Rico, WGS project CABG01000000 data, contig: 0167
AUCCAGCUAACGAGUCUCGAAUAGGACGAAACACGCGUCAAACUGGAU